GAACAAAGCGCUACUGAAAGGCUUUUAGGGGGGUUUGAACGGGACUAGCUAACAGUCGUGGGUCGUGGGUCGUGGGUAGAAUGUCGUGGGUCGUGGGUAGAAUGUCGUGGGUCGUGGGUAAAAAGUCGUGGGUCGUGGGUAAAAAGGCGUAAGUCGUGGGUAAAAAGGCGUGGGUCGUGGGUAAAAAGGCGUGGGUCGUGGGUAAAAAGGCGUGGGUCGUGGGUAAAAAGGCGUGGGUCGUGGGUAAAAAAUCGUGGGUCCCGAAUAAAAAGUCGUGGGUUCCAAGCAAAAUAUUUCCAUAUUAUUACCUUUCUCCCUUUGGAAUGCGUGUUUUUUUUUCUUCUGAGGCUUUCCCAAACUAUGCCCAAAUAUGCAUAGCUUAGAGCGCGUUAAGGCCGGGAUUUUUAUAUCGGCAGAUCGGUUUAUAAAUAUUAUAACCAAGUGUGGAUGAAACAGUUCAACUUCAAGCCCCAUAUAGCUCAAAUAUUUGGACGUUGUAAUCUUAUAGACAGAUAAAUAUUGUAAUUCUUCAAUACGAAAUAGUGCUGUCAAGCCUGUCAUAAAUAGCUAAAUUCUGACAUUCAGGGCUUCACUAAUUUGUUGAUCCAUGUUCUUACAGUAAUAAGCG